rnacentral:rRNA from 1 species
AUUGAACGCUGGCGGCAGGCUUAACACAUGCAAGUCGAGCGGAGCGGCGGACGGGUGCGUAAUGCCUAGGACUCUGCCUGGUCGUGGGGGAUAACGUCAGGAAACGGGCGCUGAUACCGCAUACUCUCCGAUGCGCCUAGGUCGGAUUAGCUAGUGGGGGGGGUAAAGGCCUACCAAGGCGACGAGCCGUAACUGGUCUGAGAGGAUGAUCAGUCACAAUGGAACUGAGACACGGUCCAGACUCCUACGGGAGGCAGCAGUGGGGAAUAUUGGACAAUGGGCGAAAGCCUGAUGCAGCCAUGCCGCGUGUGUGAAGAAGGUCUUCGGAUUGUAAAGCACUUUAAGCUGGGAGGCGUUACCAACAGAAGAAGCACCGGCUAACGUCGUGCCAGCAGCCGCGGUAAUUC